rnacentral:rRNA from 1 species
UGGGGAAUAUUGGACAAUGGGCGAAAGCCUGAUCCAGCCAUGCCGCGUGUGUGAAGAAGGUCUUCGGAUUGUAAAGCACUUUAAGUUGGGAGGAAGGGCAUUAGCCUAAUACGUUAGUGUUUUGACGUUACCGACAGAAUAAGCACCGGCUAACUCUGUGCCAGCAGCCGCGGUAAUACAGAGGGUGCAAGCGUUAAUCGGAAUUACUGGGCGUAAAGCGCGCGUAGGUGGUUUGUUAAGUUGGAUGUGAAAUCCCCGGGCUCAACCUGGGAACUGCAUUCAAAACUGACUGACUAGAGUAUGGUAGAGGGUGGUGGAAUUUCCUGUGUAGCGGUGAAAUGCGUAGAUAUAGGAAGGAACACCAGUGGCGAAGGCGACCACCUGGACUAAUACUGACACUGAGGUGCGAAAGCGUGGGGAGCAAACA